CAUUCCAAACCUGGAUUUUUAGGGUGCCGGGGAGGAAAAGGAGAAUUCCUUAGUGUAGCGGGGAAAUGGGUAGAGAUUUUGGAGGAACCACCAGUGGCGGAAGGCGACCUUACUGGUCUGUAAACUGACGCUGAGGCGCGAAAGCGGGGGGAGCAAACAGGAUUAGAUACCCUGGUAGUCCACGCCGUAAACGAUGAGUGCUAAGUGUUAGGGGGUUUCCGCCCCUUAGUGCUGCAGUAAACGCAUUAAGCACUCCGCCUGGGGAGUACGGCCGCAAGGCUGAAACUCAAAGGAAUUGACGGGGGCCCGCACAAGCAGCGGAGCAUGUGGUUUAAUUCGAAGCAACGCGAAGAACCUUACCUAGACUUGACAUCUCCUGCAUUACUCUUAAUCGAGGAAGUCCCUUCGGGGACAGGAUGACAGGUGGUGCAUGGUUGUCGUCAGCUCGUGUCGUGAGAUGUUGGGUUAAGUCCCGCAACGAGCGCAACCCUUAUUGUUAGUUGCCAUCAUUAAGUUGGGCACUCUAGCGAGACUGCCCGGGUUAACCGGGAGGAAGGUGGGGAUGACGUCAAAUCAUCAUGCCCCUUAUGUCUAGGGCUACACACGUGCUACAAUGGUCGGUACAAUAAGACGCAAGCCCGCGGGGGGGAGCAAAACUGGAAAACCGAUCUCAGUUCGGAUUGUAGGCUGAAACUCGCCUACAUGAAGCUGGAGUUGCUAGUAAUCGCGAAUCAGCAUGUCGCGGUGAAUACGUUCCCGGGUCUUGUACACACCGCCCGUCA
rnacentral:rRNA from 1 species